rnacentral:tRNA from 1 species
GCGGGAUAGGGUCUUUGGGACUGGAAAUCGCGUAGGCGGUGUUGAACCGUCUCGUGGGUUCGAAUCCCACCUCUCCGCU